UACGGAGGAUGCGAGCGUUAUCCGGAUUUAUUGGGUUUAAAGGGUGCGUAGGCGGAGCGUUAAGUCAGUGGUCAAAUUGAGGGGCUCAACCCCUUCCCGCCAUUGAAACUGGCGCUCUUGAGUGGAAGAGAAGUAUGCGGAAUGCGUGGUGUAGCGGUGAAAUGCAUAGAUAUCACGCAGAACCCCGAUUGCGAAGGCAGCAUGCCGGCUCCUACUGACGCUGAAGCACGAAAGCGUGGGGAUCGAACAGG
rnacentral:rRNA from 1 species